AAGCAACCCAGAUGCAGUGUCUGGUUCAGGAAAUAUUUAAACUGAUCACUGCUAGAGCUGAGAAGUUAGACAGAGGAUGAAAAACUGAAUUUUGCCUAGAUUUGAUCCAAAAUUUUCUCUACGAGUACCAUAGGAGCAGUCUUGCUCUCCUCCAUAGUCUGAUGGUCAAGAUCCUCAGUCUCAGUAAAGUUAAGAACCAGUGUCAUCAAGCUACAAGAAAAUACAGGGUCCUUUUGUGUGUAUGCCAUCAUCAUUCAUAUAGCUACUCGGUCAGUGUGCAGUAUCCCUGUAUUUGCAUAAAUGCUGAAGCUGACAAUAAAGUUUCCAGCGAGUGCCAAGAAUGGAUUUGACAGCUAUGAAGGCAGUUCGCAUGAACAUAAGAAAUCAAGGGCAAAGCUACUACCUGUCUUGUGCUUAAACUCUAUAGAACUGAGGACCCAACCCCCACCUGGUACGUAAUCAACUUUUGGAUAGUCCCAGCUGUUUUACUGGCUUCAGAAAUAGAGGAAGAAAGGUAGAAGAGUAUCAGCUGGGUUUUCCCAAUUGUCCAUUGCAGCAGGUUCAUUUUCUUGUUCUGUCUUAGAGUGCUUAUCUUCCAAACUGAGUUUACUGUCCUAAAAGGCAAAUGAAUGAAAAUUCCCAC
rnacentral:lncRNA from 1 species